UCAAGCUAGAAAGAGCGCAAGGGGAAUGCCUUGGCAUCAGGAGCCGAUGAAGGACGCGACAAGCUGCGAUAAGCUUCGGGUAGCUGCAAAUAAGCGAUGAUCCGGAGAUUUCCGAAUGGGGCAACCCGGCACGGCAAUACCGUGUCAGCGUGCACUGAAUCAAAUAGGUGUACGUGGGGAACCGCCUGAACUGAAACAUCUAAGUAGGGCGAGGAAAAGACAUCAACCGAGAUUCCGCAAGUAGUGGCGAGCGAACGCGGAGAAGGCCAAACCAGAGGUCAUUGAUCUCUGGGGUAAGGACUUGCAUCAUGAUCAGAGGUAUCUAGUCGAAUGGCGUGGGAAAGCCAACCACAGAGGGUGAGAGUCCCGUAGACGAAAGAGAAGACUGACAGCGAGUAUCCAGAGUACCGCCGGACACGUGAAACCCGGUGGGAACAUGGGAGGACCACCUUCCAAGCCUAAAUACUACCUGAUGACCGAUAGAGGAGCAGUACCGUGAGGGAAAGGUGAAAAGAACCCCGGGAGGGGAGUGAAAUAGUACCUGAAACCUUGUGCUUACAAGCAGUCAGAGCACGUUAAAGUGUGAUGGCGUACCUUUUGUAGAAUGGUCCGGCGAGUUAUAGUCACUGGCGAGGUUAAGCAAUUCAGUUGUGGAGCCGAAGGGAAACCGAGUCUUAAUAGGGCGUCGAGUCAGUGGCCAUAGACCUGAAACCGGGUGACCUAUCCAUGAGCAGGUUGAAGUUGGUGUAAAAGCCAAUGGAGGACCGAACCCACGUUCGUUGCAAUGACCGGGGAUGACUUGUGGAUAGCGGAGAAAUUCCAAUCGAACUCGGAGAUAGCUGGUUCUCCCCGAAAUAGCUUUAGGGCUAGCGUUAUUUUAGAUUACCGGAGGUAAAGCACUGAAUGGUCUAGGGGCCGCGAGGUUACCAAAGCCUAUCAAACUCUGAAUGCCGGAUAAUUGAUGAAUAGCAGUCAGACUGUGUGAGAUAAGUCUCAUAGUCAAAAGGGAAACAGCCCAGAUCUACAGCUAAGGUCCCAAAUGAACACUAAGUGGAAAAUGAUGUGAAACUGCGAAGACAACCAGGAUGUUGGCUUAGAAGCAGCCACUCAUUCAAAGAGUGCGUAAUAGCUCACUGGUCGAGUGGUUUUGCGCAGAAAAUGUAACGGGGCUAAGUGUUCAACCGAAGCUUAGGCAUUGCAGCAAUGCAUUGGGUAGGGGAGCGUCGUAUGCGGGGCGAAGUCAGAGCGGAAGCACUGGUGGACUGCAUACGAGUGAGAAUGCCGGAAUAAGUAGCGAGAAUUAUGUGAGAAUCAUAAUGGCCGAAAAUCUAAGGUUUCUUGGGGAAGGUUCGUCCGCCCAGGGUUAGUCGGGAGCUAAGCUCAGGCCGAAAGGCGUAGGCGAUGCACAUACGGUAGAAAUUCCGUAACCACCGAACUUUAAGCUAGAGGGACGCUUUCUUUAAGGUUAUCCCGGGCGAUGGUUGCCCCGGGCGUAAGGGACCGAAAUAUAGUAGGGAAGUAACUGGCGAGAGAGACGAGAAAAGCUCUAGUGUAUACUAAGGUGCCCGUACCGCAAACCGACACAGGUAGAAGGGAUGAGUAUUCUAAGGCCAACGGGAGAAGGGUUGUUAAGGAACUCGGCAAAUUGGCCCCGUAACUUCGGGAUAAGGGGCGCCUGCGAGAGCAGGCCGCAGUGAAAAGGCCCAAGCGACUGUUUAGCAAAAACACAGCUCUCUGCUAAAUCGAAAGAUGACGUAUAGGGGGUGACGCCUGCCCGGUGCUGGAAGGUUAAGGGGAGUGCUUAGCGCAAGCGAAGGUGCGAACUUAAGCCCCAGUAAACGGCGGCCGUAACUAUAACGGUCCUAAGGUAGCGAAAUUCCUUGUCAGGUAAGUUCUGACCCGC
rnacentral:rRNA from 1 species